UCCCCUAUUUCUAUUAGGUUUCCUCCUCCUUAAUGGAUUAAAAGCAGAAGAGCAAUCCUUGAAUCUUCACUUUUUUUGUAUGCUUUCACAACAAGUAACUAUAUAAUUCUCUAGUUCAGUAACUCAAUCAGAAUACUCUAGAGUCUUGUUACUCAAAGUGUGGUCCACAGACCAGCAGCAUUAGUAUCACUUGGGAGCUCAUUCUGAGCCAGAAUUUCAGGCUCCACCCCAAGCCUCCUAAACCAGAAUCUGCAUUUUAAGAUGCCCAGGUGAUCUGUAAGAACUCGCAGAUUUGAGAAGCACUGGUUUAGACUCCAAAGGAAGAAUUAGAAUGUUCAAGAUACAUAUGACCAAGUAAUACUAACUUGUAAUUGCUUAUUUGUUGGUUUUCCUUAUCUGCUAACUAAGGCUUGUUGAGGGGAGGAACCCUUGCAAUCUUCCUCACCACUGGUAUUCCGUGGGACUAACAGGCCCUGGAACAUUAUCCAGUACUCAAAAAAUAUUUUUUGCUGAAUGCAUAAAUGACUGAACAAAGUGAAAAUAAAGCUUUUUCAGAAAGCUAAUCCUUUAGGAAAUUGCACGUUAUGUCACCUACUACCAUACUAAUUCUUUAAUUCAGUAUCAUUAAUUUCACUUUAAAUAUGUUGCCUUCUCUACUUCAACAAAUGCAUUUAAUGCACUUGACAAAGCAAAAGCUUGGCUCAUCUUCCUCUGUUGGAGCCACCAGGGGCCUCUUUUACAAGUCAGAGAGCUGCAUUUUAAUUCUGGCUCUCACAGAUCCAUCCCAUAUGUCUGCACAAGAUGAAAUCACCGCAACAACUUGGAGGGGGUGGGGAGAAUAGAGGAGGAAUGGGUAAAGCAAAACCAAUUCUGUAUCAGGGACAUCAUAUGAAACCUGAAAAACACGAUUUUUUGAACAAGAUACUUCCAGAAAAUAACUCCCGGCACGGGAAAGAAAGCGGCAGAAAAACCUCUACCUUUCUCAAGAGAAAAGGUGAUACAGGAGAACAGGAGGGAGUGAUAAAAUACCAGCGAUUACCUAGCGACGGAAGGGGGAAACACACCAGACCAAAACUAAAGCGGACAGCGGUUAGAAACAUCCAAGCAGGGUGCCAAAAAACACACAGGUUUGCAGAGAAGGAAGCCAAGGGAGAAGAAAGGGGAAAGGAAAUAGUUCUAUGAAGGGUGUAACUUGCGAUGAUGGUUUUUUUUUGUUUUUUUUGAGAAAGAGAAAUGACACGCACUUGAAGGAGGGGUGUUGCAAUUUCACGCGCUGCAAAAGGAAGCCACUGACGGUCCCAGGGAGGCAGCCGAGCAGAGUUCUUUUCUUCCCCCCAGGUCUGCGGAGACCGCCGUAAAGACUACUACUCCCAGCACCUCCGCGCUCUCCCUUUCCUCAAAGGAGAAAGAUCUCCCUCGAGGCUGUUUCUUACGGGCACGCCCUGUCACUGUUAUGUACGCAAUGUGGCCCUGCACUUAAAUUAAAUUAAACAAGGACUGAUACAGCGAGGGGACAACUGGUAUCCAUUUAGUGCUUUACAGUUUACGAAUCGCAUUCUAUCGCUUCAACCAUCCUGCGAGGUAGGUGGGCGUGAUCCAUCCCCAUUUUACACACAAAGAGGAAACUGCCCCUCACAGUGAACCGACUUUUUCAAAGAGAAGGAAUUCCUGAGUGAUGGAGCCAGCAUUCCAGCCUCCUUUCAGAUCUCCUCCGCUGGCACUUCUUGCUGUGCUGCUGCAGUGGAUGAGGAGGUAGAGAGAACAAGUUGUGAAGGAGGGAAGAUGGGUCACCUUUUAACCCUAACGUAAGUGAGGACGCGUAAGCGUCAAAAGAGAGAGACAAAGAGCAGUGGUGACAGGGAUACGUGGGAAGAAGAAAGAUUACUGGAAUAAUUUUAAAUUUCUUGUUCGUUUAGCCUCCUCUCUUCUAUGGAACGUUCACCUUUCAAGUCACACAACCUGAGGUGUGGGAGAUGCUGAGAAGUGCUUACCUCUCGCUCUUUGCUCCUGACUUUCUUGGUUUGGCCUUCUUGCAAUGGCUCUAUGAUUUUUAACCAAGUAUCUUACAACUCUUUCCCUAGUCAGCUUUUUUGUAAGGAGGAUAUAAUAAUAUUUACACCUUGGCUACAAUAACUUAAUAAAUGGCUUUAGAGUGUUUUGAGGUUCACAGAUAAAAGACAUAAUAAAUUCAAAGUAUUACUUUCUUUCCUUUAAAGUGCCAUUUACCAUAAUAAAAUUCAGACUCCCAAGGUACAACAUGAUCGUAGAGCCAAUUCCUGAAAAAUAACGCGCCUAGUUGGGAGUUAGAGAUUUAGCUAAGCAUUACGUGUUUCCUCUGUGGAGUCAGCAGGUUCUGUUAAUCACAGAAGGCCUGGGAAACAACCAUAUGUCCUGGAGAGAAAUUCAUCGUUCACUAUCAUCACCAUUGUUGUCCAUGACAAACAUUAAACUUUUACUCUGCUGAGCAUUAUGCUAGGAGUUGAGGCUACAAGAAAGUAUGUAACAUAAUUGUUCGUUUCAAAGAGUAAAAUCUGUCUGGGAACAGGAUAUGUGCGAGCAAAGAUAGCCAG